AACUCAAAGGAAUUGACGGGGGCCCGCACAAGCGGAGGAACAUGUGGUUUAAUUCGAUGAUACGCGAGGAACCUUACCUGGGCUUAAAUGCAGAGUGCAUGCUGUGGAAACACACUUCCCUUCGGGGCUCUUUGCAAGGUGCUGCAUGGUUGUCGUCAGCUCGUGCCGUGAGGUGUCGGGUUAAGUCCCAUAACGAGCGCAACCCUUACCGUUAGUUGCCAACAGGUUAAGCUGGGGACUCUAGCGGGACUGCCACCGUAAGGUGAGAGGAAGGUGGGGAUGACGUCAAAUCAGCACGGCCCUUAUGUCCAGGGCUACACACGUGUUACAAUGGCCGGUACAGAGGGCAGCUACCCCGCGAGGGGAUGCAAAUCUUGAAAGCCGGUCUCAGUUCGGAUUGGAGUCUGCAACCCGACUCCAUGAAGUUGGAUUCGCUAGUAAUCGCGCAUCAGCCAUGGCGCGGUGAAUACGUUCCCGGGCCUUGUACACACCGCCCGUCAAACCAUGGGAGCUGGGGGUGCCUGAAGUCUGUGACCGAGAGGAGCGGCCUAGGGUAAAACCAGUGACUGGGGUUAAGUCGUAACAAGGUAACCAAGGGCGAA
rnacentral:rRNA from 1 species